GACGUAGGGCGCGAGCGUUGUCCGGAUUUAUUGGGCGUAAAGAGCUCGUAGGCGGUUUGUCGCGUCGUCCGUGAAAACUCACAGCUUAACUGUGAGCUUGCGGUCGAUACGGGCAGGCUAGAGUUCGGUAGGGGAGACUGGAAUUCCUGGUGUAGCGGUGAAAUGCGCAGAUAUCGGGAGGAACACCGGUGGCGAAGGCGGUUCUCUGGGCCUUACCUGACACUGAGGAGCGAAAGCGUGGGGAGCGAACAGG
rnacentral:rRNA from 1 species